ensembl:lncRNA
CAAGUAACAGACAAGAGACAAAGUGACAAGUGAUGAGAGCCACUGAGUGGCACGAGUUGUGCCAAUGAGAGCCACUGAGUGCCACGAGUUGUGCUAAUGAGAGCCACUGAGUGCCAUUGCGUGCCAGUGCCACAAAGAGGAUCUCGGCCCUGCUGCAUUUUAGGGCUGCAGUCCUAGAUGAACCUCAGGAGCUGCCUGUCCCAGGAGACAUCACAGAGGAAGCACUGCCUGCAUGUGGAGUAGCAAAAGAUCAUGACUAUGCCUACCAUCCUUCUCCUGGUAAACUGGAUGCUGCUGCGAUGAGAAUUCAGGAGUUGGAGUUUCAAGUUGUGUCACUUGAACUUGAAAUCCAGCAGCUGACAGUUAAGCAGCAGCAGCAGCCUCUGAUUUUCAAGUUCUGUGUCACUUUCGUUACUACACUAAGUUUAGCUCAAAGGAGGUCUUCACUGUGUUUUGGGAGUCAGUUUACCCUUCUGCUUCAAGGCUUUUGUACUGGCACAGCAAACAGCAUAAGAGACACCUAGCCCUCAGCGAAAACUUCCGCUCAUUGAUGAACUGUUCAUGUUUCUCUGUCGUGUUGCAGCUGGGCUUCAGGAGAAAACCUUGUCAACCAUCUUCGAGGUCAGCUUGUCUACCGUUAGUCGCAUCAUCCUCACAUGGACAAGCUACCUUUACCAGGUUCUUGACUCGCUACUGUUGUGGAUGACGAGAGAGUAAGUGCAGGCCACAAUGCCUGACAAGCUCAAGCUCUAUUGCCCUCAGGUGAGAGUGAUAAUAGACUGCACCGAGAUCCGUUGUGAAACAGCAUCUUCUCUCUUACUACAGUCGGAAACGUUUUCCAACUAUAAAAACCACACCACCUUUAAAGGUCUAAUUGGCAUUGCCCCAUUUGGGGUUAUCACAUUUGUUUUCGAAAUUGUACACAGGCUCCAUCUCUGAUAUAGAAAUAACUCUGCAAUCGGAGAUCUUCCAGUUACUUCAACCAGAAGAUGGAGUAAUGGCUGACAAAGGGUUUCAAAUUGAGAAGAUGCUGUCACAGGUGGGGGCAACCCUCAUCAUCCCUCCACUGAAAAAAUCUAAUCAGCUCAGCACAGCGGACACACUGAAGACCCAGGCUAUUGACCAGGCGAUACGCAGGGUGAAGGAGUACCACAUUUGGGAUGGGCUUGUUCCUCUUUCUAUGGUAGGUUCAGUCAAUCAGUUGUGGGCCAUCUGUUGCCUACUCUCAAACUAUCAGGGACCUCUUGAUAUCAAAGGGGACAAACCUGUCUGAAGUAUUUCCUUUCUUGGGUGAGAUUAAUUCUUCAGUACUUUUAGGUGUUUGACACUAUGUGUAGAUAUACUGUAAAU